GGGCCUGUAGCUCAACGGUUAGAGCAGCAGACUCAUAAUCUGUUGGUUGUAGGUUCGAAUCCUACCGGGCCCA
rnacentral:tRNA from 1 species